rnacentral:rRNA from 1 species
UGCGCAGGCGGACCUAUCAGUCAGUGGUGAAAUCUCUCGGCUCAACCGGGAAACUGCCAUUGAUACUGUAGGUCUUGAGUUUGGUUGAAGUGGGCGGAAUGUAGCAUGUAGCGGUGAAAUGCAUAGAUGUGCUACAGAACACCGAUCGCGAAGGCAGCUCACUAAACCAAAACUGACGCUCAGGCACGAAAGCGUGGGUAGCGAACAGGAUUAGAUACCCUGGUAGUCC